AUGUUGUCUAAUUUAACUCGUUUUGUGAUUCUUCUCGUAAAAAUUCAGUCGUCCAAGGAUAGGGAUCCAUUAAGGAAGAAAGAAAGGGCCAGCGCAUGGAGAUUGUAUUUUCUGUGGUUCGCAACUCCACAAGUGGGAACAUACGGCAUAUAAGUUCUCUGGAAGUUUUCACUUUCUUCAUUCUCUACUCUACAAGUGGGAGCUGUCCAAUUCAUCCACUAGUUCGCAUGCAAAAGUAA
rnacentral:lncRNA from 1 species